rnacentral:rRNA from 1 species
UACGGAGGAUCCAAGCGUUAUCCGGAUUUAUUGGGUUUAAAGGGUGCGCAGGCGGAAGAUUAAGUCGGCGGUGAAAUUUUGCAGCUCAACUGUAAAAGUGCCGUCGAUACUGGUUUUCUUGAGUGUGGAUGAAGUAGGCGGAAUUUGUGGUGUAGCGGUGAAAUGCAUAGAUAUCACGAGGAACUCCGAUUGCGCAGGCAGCUUACUAGGCCAUAACUGACGCUCAGGCACGAAGGCGUGGGGAUCAAACAGGAUUAGAUA